rnacentral:rRNA from 1 species
AAUCAACGCUGGCGGCGUGCCUCAGACAUGCAAGUCGAACGAUUAAAGCUCUCUUCGGAGAGUGUAUAGAGUGGCGCACGGGUGAGUAACACGUAAGUAAUCUACCUUUGAGUGGGAAUAACAAUCGGAAACGAUUGCUAAUACCGCAUAAUGCAGCGGCAUCGCAAGAUGACAGUUGUUAAACGGAGCAAUCCGCUUAAAGAGGAGCUUGCGGCAGAUUAGCUAGUUGGUAAGGUAAUGGCUUACCAAGGCUACGAUCUGUAACCGGUCUAAGAGGACGGUCGGUCACACUGACACUGAAUGACGGGUCAGACUCCUACGGAGGCAGCAGUCGGGAAUUUUGGCAAUGGCGAAAGCCUGACCCAGCAACGCCGCGUGAAGGAUGAAGUA